AAUUGAUUUUCUUUUAGUACAUGUUGCGGUAGAUCAGGAAAUCUCUACGGAAAAAGUCAAAAUAGGGUUCAACAUCCGACGUGUCCAAAUGACGGGGUCCAUAAAUUUUAUCACACGAUGCAGUAGAAAGACGAGUCACUGAGUUGCAACGACGAAUCUACAGCGACUCUCCUUCGGGCACUUGGAUUGUUUCGGUGGCUACUUCUAGAGUCACUCCACUGGAACGCCAGCAGCGUUGCUAUUUCAAGUGUACGCGUCCCCGUCUCCGUCUCCGUCUCCUCCUUGUUAUAGCUACCGUCUCGCCUUCGCGGUUGGGCCUAGUCGAUUUCCAUUACGAAGCAGAGAACAGAGCGUGUCGUGUCCAUGGGGUAUUUUGCGCCGGAUAUUGGCGAAGGAGAGUUCUCGCAAUAGUUGACAGCUCUUCACUAGCGCUUCUGUGUUCAUCCGAAAUUUGUUUAGCGAAAUACCAGUAAUAAGAAUGAUCUGGUUUCAAAUCCAUGCGCUCAUUGGGAAUUUUAUGAUUGAAGGUUCUCAACAUCAACUGUUGUUCCUGUUUGUUUAAUGAAAAUGAAAAUGAAAUAAAAAUAAGAAGUCCAGCAAACAACUUGUGGAAAUUGUCAGGCCCAAAAAUGGCUGCUCAGAGGAUUGGACAUGUAGCAAACAAAGGCCCAAGUGUUUUCAAGGCGAUUGUAUUGGGGAUGUCUUUUGGGGUCAUGGCAGGAGGCCUUUGGAAAAUGCACCACCGGAACAACCAGAGGCGGACUAAAGAGUUCUAUGACAUGCUUGAGAAAGACGAAAUCAGUGUUGUUGUGGUGGAAGAGUAGACUGUACGGUAGAGUAGAGUAGGCACUAUUUUCUUCCACUUAGGAAAAUGUCGUUUGCAUCUUACUUUUGUUUCCGCUAUCAUUUUAAUCAUAGAAUUUUGGGAUAAUUGCAGAAACCUCGCCUGAGGUUUCUGAUAUUUGCACUGA